rnacentral:rRNA from 1 species
UGGGGAAUUUUGGACAAUGGGCGAAAGCCUGAUCCAGCAAUGCCGCGUGUGUGAAGAAGGCCUUCGGGUUGUAAAGCACUUUUGUCCGGAAAGAAAUCCUUGGCUCUAAUACAGUCGGGGGAUGACGGUACCGGAAGAAUAAGCACCGGCUAACUACGUGCCAGCAGCCGCGGUAAUACGUAGGGUGCAAGCGUUAAUCGGAAUUACUGGGCGUAAAGCGUGCGCAGGCGGUUUGCUAAGACCGAUGUGAAAUCCCCGGGCUCAACCUGGGAACUGCAUUGGUGACUGGCAGGCUAGAGUAUGGCAGAGGGGGGUAGAAUUCCACGUGUAGCAGUGAAAUGCGUAGAGAUGUGGAGGAAUACCGAUGGCGAAGGCAGCCCCCUGGGCCAAUACUGACGCUCAUGCACGAAAGCGUGGGGAGCAAAACAGGAUUAGAUACCCUGGUAGUCCACGCCCUAAAACGAUGUCAACUAGUUGUUGGGGAUUCAUUUCCUUAGUAACGUAGCUAACGCGUGAAGUUGACCGCCUGGGGAGUACGGUCGCAAGAUUAAAACUUAAAUGAAUUGACGGGGUCAUA